AUUGGCAGCAGGGGGGAAUAUUGCACAAUGGGCGCAAGCCUGAUGCAGCCAUGCCGCGUGUGUGAAGAAGGCCUUCGGGUUGUAAAGCACUUUCAGCGGGGAGGAAGGGUCACUAGUUAAUACCUAGUGGCAUUGACGUUACUCGCUGAAGAAGCACCGGCUAACUCCGUGCCAGCAGCCGCGGUAAUAAU
rnacentral:rRNA from 1 species